GACCCUGUAGCUCAGAUGGAUAGAGCGGCGCCCUCCUAAGGCGUAGGCCGUGCGUUCGAAUCGCGCCAGGGUCGCCA
rnacentral:tRNA from 1 species